ACUAUAAGUGAGAAUGCAUUGAAUGCAUUCUCACUGAUAAAGGGAAACAGAAACACAAUAGUGAGAAUGCAUUGGAUGCAUUCUCACUGACUAGAAAAAUAGCUGUUCCUAGCGAAACAGCCGUGAGAAUGCAUAUUUGCAGAAUGACUGCAGCAGAGAUGCAACCAGUGGAAAACCAGUGGAAGUUGAAGGCAUACAGAAAAGUUGAAAGGCAAAAAGAUAUU